rnacentral:lncRNA from 1 species
UUAACACAACACCUCCGCGUUCACAGUAGAACAGAGAUAUUUGCAUGCCAAGCACCGCAUUUAAGGCACAGGAAGGGCCUGUCUGAACGGUAGACACAGCUGUGAAGCUGAGUUUAGGAACUGCUCAAGUCCUGGCUCACCUCCUGCGUGACCCCACUACACACAUUUGCUCUCCAAGUCCCAUAGAGCAGUGAACUAAAAUUUUGAACAAAGGCUUUGCGUUUGGUGGAAAUAGAUACUGUGUGUUAUACCUGUAGGGUUUUCUUACGCCUCUGUUCUCUGCUUCCUAUGCAGUUCUUCUGAGUAAGGUACGUGAAGACCAAUGUGCGUUUUUUUCCUGUGAAUUUUCUGAAAUGAUCCUCCAAAGCUUUUCUUUGUGAUGGCAGUAGGAAUAAUAUAUGCAGCUGGCCUAACUCCAAUAGAGGGAGCUGCAAGACUGGGGCUACCCAUGGAGAAGAUGACUGUAUGCAAGUGGUGACAGCAGCGCAGGCAGGAGCUUGGUGACCAGGGUGUAGUCCCAGGUUGUGAGCAGCCAGGUGGUAAUUACAUGGUGGUCAGCCAACAGUCUCAGAUGUGGUGAUGAGCGUGAUCCAGGGGGUCCAGUUGGGAAUGGCAGGAGAUGGCUCGGGAACAAGGCUGUGACAUAAGCCCAAGGUCAGUGCAGGGAAUGGGGCAGAACAUGGUGCUGCUCCCAUUGUCAGUCACUAAGGGCAGGCCUGAGGUGAAACAGAGUUCUGGAUGAAUGAGCAGAGGGCAUGUGGAUGGAAGUCCCAGGGUUUGUUGUUAUCCGUUCAGGAUCAUUAGUGUACUCGUGACCCUGACAUUCAGACAGGUUGUUUCAUUCUUGUUCCACAGAAGUUUACUUCCAUAGUCUG